AGAGUUUGAUCCUGGCUCAGAACGAACGCUGGCGGCGUGCUUAACACAUGCAAGUCGAACGAGAAAGGGCUUCGGCCCGAGUAAAGUGGCGAACGGGUGAGUAACGCGUGGGUAAUCUGGCCUCGGGUGGGGGAUAACUUCCCGAAAGGGAUGCUAAUACCGCAUGAGACCACUUAUCUCUGGAUGAGUGGGAAAAGGUGGGGAUCUUCGGACCUGCCGCCUGAGGAUGAGCCCGCGUACCAUUAGGUAGUUGGUGGGGUAAAGGCCUACCAAGCCAGAGAUGGUUAGCUGGUCUGAGAGGAUGAUCAGCCACACUGGGACUGAGACACGGCCCAGACUCCUACGGGAGGCAGCAGUGGGGAAUAUUGCGCAAUGGACGAAAGUCUGACGCAGCAACGCCGCGUGUGUGAAGAAGGCUCUCGGGUCGUAAAGCACUGUCGAGAGGAACGAGCCGGUCGUAGUCAAUAGCUGCGAUCCCGACGGUACCUCUUGAGGAAGCACCGGCUAACUCCGUGCCAGCAGCCGCGGUAAUACGGAGGGUGCAAGCGUUGUUCGGAAUUAUUGGGCGUAAAGCGCGCGCAGGUGGGUCAUUAAGUCUGAUGUGAAAUCCCUCGGCUCAACCGAGGACGUGCAUUGGAUACUGGUGACCUUGAGUCCUGGAGAGGAGAGCGGAAUUCCCAGUGUAGAGGUGAAAUUCGUAGAUAUUGGGAGGAACACCAGUGGCGAAGGCGGCUCUCUGGACAGUGACUGACGCUGAGGCGCGAAAGCGUGGGUAGCAAACAGGAUUAGAUACCCUGGUAGUCCACACCGUAAACGAUGAAUGCCAGUCGUCGGGCAGUAUACUGUUCGGU
rnacentral:rRNA from 1 species